UUGAACGCUGGCGGCAGGCCUAACACAUGCAAGUCGAGCGGAUGAAGGGAGCUUGCUCCUGGAUUCAGCGGCGGACGGGUGUGUAAUGCCUAGGAAUCUGCCUGGUAGUGGGGGAUAACGUCCGGAAACGGGCGCUAAUACCGCAUACGUCCUGAGGGAGAAAGUGGGGGAUCUUCGGACCUCACGCUAUCAGAUGAGCCUAGGUCGGAUUAGCUAGUUGGUGGGGUAAAGGCCUACCAAGGCGACGAUCCGUAACUGGUCUGAGAGGAUGAUCAGUCACACUGGAACUGAGACACGGUCCAGACUCCUACGGGAGGCAGCAGUGGGGAAUAUUGGACAAUGGGCGAAAGCCUGAUCCAGCCAUGCCGCGUGUGUGAAGAAGGUCUUCGGAUUGUAAAGCACUUUAAGUUGGGAGGAAGGGCAGUAAGUUAAUACCUUGCUGUUUUGACGUUACCAACAGAAUAAGCACCGGCUAACUUCGUG
rnacentral:rRNA from 1 species